UACGUAGGGUGCAAGCGUUGUCCGGAAUUAUUGGGCGUAAAGAGCUCGUAGGCGGUUUGUCGCGUCGAAUGUGAAAACCCGGGGCUCAACCCCGGGCCUGCAUUCGAUACGGGCAGACUAGAGUUCGGUAGGGGAGUCUGGAAUUUCUGGUGUAGCGGUGAAAUGCGCAGAUAUCCGGAGGAACACCGGUGGCGAAGGCGGGACUCUGGGCCGAUACUGACGCUGAGGAGCGAAAGCGUGGGGAGCGAACAGG
rnacentral:rRNA from 1 species